GGCUCUGGGUAUAAAUUGUCUAUUAUUACAUUAAAACAUAUAACAUAUAGUUCUGUGUUUGUUAUGGUAAAACAUUUCUUCUACAAUUCUAUGGAGACAAACGUUUAUCUCUAAUUGGUAGUCCCUGUGUCAUUUACAGUUGAAAACUGUAUGUUACUUCAUCUUUAAAGCUAAUAGGAAAUACACUGCCUCAAUCAGGAAUAGACCCCGACUUUAACUCAUCCAAUAACAUUUGAAACUAUUUAAUGACGGCAAGGACUGAAAUACACAUUUUCCAAGUCCACAGUAAAUUUCCAUUUGGUAUAUUGCAUGUUGCCUUAGAGGGAUCAAUUCCGAUUUUCGUGGUUUUGUACUAUCAAUUUAAAGGUAGAUUGUGGAAUAAAAACAACACUGCCCGUAUUUAUACUGAUGUGCAAGACGUUGCUGUUUAGACAUGUGGACGCUAAUUAGGCACAAGGAAAAAGCGUAUUCGUCCAAAGAUUUCAAGACAAACGCUCUGUGCACGUACCGGAAGUACAUAUUUUUAAUUCCAUAGUAUAUGUCUCAUUCGGUAUAUCGCAUGUUACCGUAAAGGGCUCGAUCCCGAUUCCCUAUUAAAUCAAUUCAAUAUAUGCCUAGCAUUGUAACAUUAAUGUGUUACAUGUUUAGGUAACAAAUAAAAAUGUAAUUACUUUUUAUUGCAGCACUAGGUUUAACAAAGCAAGGCUAAAAAGGUCGAAGCAGGAAAAUGAACAUAUGUAUGUUAUCGUAAAUAAAACACAAAUACCAUACCACGAAUCAAUUAUUGAUAUUGAUAUUGCUAAACUUGACGUUUCUUAUGACAUGACUGCCGAACUAUAUGCCACCAUUGAUGUAAGCAGUAUGAAAUUUAACGUGGAUCUAUCAACAAAAGCAGACAUUGACUUCCUACUAGGACUAGUUAACUAUGAGGCGAAUAUAUUCCACACAGAUGUUUGCUAUAAAGGAAGACUGGACUACAGUGUUUCAAAGGGCUUUAACAAAGAUGAAUUGCAGAACAAUAUCAAACGAUACGAUGAAGAAAUAGUCCAGACCAUGGAGCCAACGAAGGUGGCUAUUAGGACAUUUAGAUCUACUUUGGAAUCUUUUCAAGGUCAAGGCAGUGAUUCAGUUGUGCAGUCCUUACUAGCCGGAAGUGAGGAUAUACCACUAAGCUAUUCGGAGGCUUUUGCGAAUAUAAGUUACGUUGAAGAAACUUUACAGGAGUUAAAUCUCCCAAGUACGAAACAGUCAGACUUAAAAGCCACUAUAAUGAGCAUGAAAAAUUUAGCUGACGACUCUCGAUCUGCUAGUCUUAACCUGUACAUGGAUAUUAUUGAUCCUAUUGCGAUGGACCUUCCGUAUGCACAUAAAAGGUUGGUAAUGUCCUAUAAUGAAAUUAGUACGGCAUUGAAAUCCGUCAUAAAUUCACCAUCACAGGCUGUCGAUAAAAUGACUCGUGGAUUGUCACACAUGCGGUCAGCCAUUGCAAUGUUUACCAAUGCUAAACAACAAAUCGAAAAUGCUUUGUCAUUUAAUAAAGGAGGAACGGCAUGGACUGAAAACGCGAAAGAAAUUCAAAGGCUUGCUUUGAGAUUCAAAGAACUUGGACAAGAAACAGAAUAUAUUAUUCAGAAGAAAACAAAUAUUCUUGACUUCAACGACAGGGUGGACAUGUCGGUAUCCCCUACCACGCUUAUUUCAACUUUGACCAAAUUGUCUAAGAAAGUUGAACCGUUGAAAAUGAUGCAUAGAGUAACAAAGUCAUUCCUGGACAAAUUCAAAAUAUUUUCCGACUUAGUAAAACAACUAAAAAAAGACUUCAUGAACACGAAAUCCUCAAUUGACUUUUGUAAAGCAAGAGUAAAUUUGAUAUUCGGACCAAAGUUUCACCCAGACUUCCCAAGACGGACUCGUAAGGCGGACCAACUCUGUUCUGCAGGCGUCUUUCCAACAAACACAGACGGAAACUUUAAGACAGAGGGGAUUGACCUUGAAAUCGUAGGAAACUCGCAGAUUGUUAAUCCAGUAGAUGGCAUCAUUUUCAUCAAAAACACUUCAGUGAUAAUUAAACCAACGCAAGAUGAUUUCAGGGAACUCGAAUUUAUUAUUGAGAAUAUCAGUCCAGAUACAGGGCUACAUAUGAAGCGGGUACCAUCCGGGAUAUUUAUUGGAAGAUCAUUUCAGCCAAAUAUAUGCAAGACGAGUUUCAUUCACCUGUCCAUGCGAGAACGUGAAACGGAUAGGAAAUAUAAUCAUACCCGCAAUAAAAGAUCUGAUCAAUCUGGAAGUUUUAUAGAUCCUUCUAGACUUAUAAACAGAAUAUUUGACGAUAUUCUUCGAGACGUAAAAUGGAACCAGGAGUGCAACAGUUAUGAGGUCAGGUAAUUAUAGAGAUGUUCGAUGCCUCUAAAUUAAUAAAAUAUAAUUGUAUAUCAUAUUAAAAUGCAAAAACAAUAACUAUUCUUUCGAAAUUCAUAGUGACUGCUUAUUUAACUUACUAUUUAUUAGUUAUGAAAGUCUGAAUGUGAGACAACCAUUAAAUGUUUUGUUUGUCACAUGAAGGAUAUUUUCUUUAAGGUGUCAUUUACAAGUAGACAUUUUUUGAAGUUUGCAUUCUGCUAUUUUUCUUUUUCUCUUUCUGUCCAAGUUUUUUCGGAAAGGUGUCGGACAGUGGACAAUUAUGUGAUAGCCUUUCCGAGUAUAUAACAAAAACGGUCAGAAAAGAUUCUGCAAGUGAAUGCGGUAAAGACAUGCCUGACCCUCUCUCUGCGACAAAAAAGAACAAAAGGGAUACAUUGAAUGUUAAAGAUAUUCUUCGGCAAAAUAUUAUUGAUAAUAUUUCUUCUACCUCACGUAUAUUCAACGACAUAUUUGAAACAAGCUUGUUCAGUGACACCGGACCGAGAAUUCCGAGCUUUAAAAAUUUCCAGUCGCUGAAGAAUUUGUCAGUAGAGAAUGUCCUAUUGUCUCUGAUCAAACCAACGAAAAAGAAGCCUUACUUAAAUUAAUCGACAAAACAGUAUCAGAAAUAAUGACAGUACCGGUGAGAAAUGUAAUAUCUAUGACAAUGAAAAGAAUGCGGUUGCUUCAAGCUCUAACGGGAACCGUUAAACGCAUUGAUGAUUCUGCAUCUGUAAUGAAUGUAUUUGACGAAACGCCAUUUCUCUACGAAAAAGUGUGUCCUCAUUUCCACAGCGCUGUCAAAGACAGCGGUAUAUUCUGUUUUGCAAAAUCAACUUGUGAAGGCAUAACAUGCAAUGUGCCUGUCAAGACAGUCGGAUAUGUUCAUUUGUUGUUGAUAAGCGUCAUGAUUGAGCCUGCUGAAAAUAUCUUAUACAUAUCAACUGCAGAAGAAACGCACAAUAUAACAGCUGAAAGUAAGGAGUUUGUCUUGCCGACAAAUAUAAGUUACGAAGGAUUUCAACUUUUCCUAAACAUCAAAAUAAAAGCUGCAAACACGAUGACUUUGUCUAUUGAGAUGGAUGUAUGCAAUGGCAUGAUGAGUUGCUUUGAAACAACACAUAUUUUUGAAGAUAUUAAAUUGCUCCAAACUACAAAAGAAUAUCCAUCUUCAAUGUUAAGGAAAAAGACUGUUAGAGAAGAAAUUGUUAAAGGUUCAUCGUUUUAUCUUUUUGUGUUUGGAGACACCGGGGAACACAUCAAGCUCGCAUGUAAUAAAAGACAUGUAAUAAAACGUCGAUCUAACAUCGGUGAGGAAAUCGUUAACAUCAUAAGUGGGAAGCUCAAUUCAACGUCACAAAGCGUACAGAUGCUUAGGUUUGUCUGGGACACACUUAGGAUUUUUGGACCAGAUGGGCAAGAUACAUUGAAAGACUCACUAGCCAAUUCUAUAACAAAUGCAGUAGACGAGUUGGAAAAAAAGUUCAUAACAUUCGAAUGUCAUAUGACAAUUACACUACCGGUUUUAAACAUUAUGACGGAUAUAACACCGUUAGUAUUUCCUGUUGGACCUGUUCCUGUUA